AACGAAGUCAGAGCGGAACCAUACAUUAACUGUGCAACAGAUCGUUUUUCGUGACAUCGGAAAUUUUGCAGUUGCAGAAAAGUUUUAAUUCAAAGUGUGUGGAUACGAAAAUGUACACUAUGCUCGAAAAGUUUCUGAGAUUACUUCUAGUGUUUGUAGCUUUGUGGAUGGUAGCAAACGCACAAUGGCCGCAAGGCCUCCCUUUUUUUGGCCGAGGGUUUGGUGGUGAUGAUAUGGACAUGGACGAUAUGUUUGAGAGAAUGAAUAUGUUGCGAUUUGGAGGCCGCUUUUGGGGGGAUUAGCGAAUCUGUGUGUCGUGCUUGUUGUGUUGUCCAGUGACAGGGAUUGAAAUAUGAAACAUCUGGCUUGGCAUAAUGAAUGAACUUUUAAAUCACGAGUGCCACUUUUAUGUGUAUUAAUAUAUAUUGAAAUAAAAGGAUGAUUAACUUA